UAAGAAUUAGUUAAAUAAUAACAUAAAAUUGUCAAUUUUAAAUAAUUAAUCUAAUUAAUAUUCUUAU
rnacentral:tRNA from 1 species